rnacentral:rRNA from 1 species
GGCCNACCAUGGUGGUAACGGGUAACGGGGUGUUAGGGCACGACACCGGGAGAGGGAGCCUGAGAAACGGCUACCACAUCCAAGGAUGGCAGCAGGCGCGCAAAUUACCCAAUCCCGACACGGGGAGGUAGUGACAAUAAAUAACAAUACGGGGUUCUUUCGGAUUUCGUAAUUGGAAUGAGUACAAUUUAAAUCUCUUAACGAGGAACAAUUGGAGGGCAAGUCUGGUGCCAGCAGCCGCGGUAAUUCCAGCUCCAAUAGCGUAUAUUAAAGUUGCUGCAGUUAAAAAGCUCGUAGUUGAAUUUCGGGACUAAUAUGUCGGUCGUGCCUCGGUACGUACUGGCUUAUUGGUUUCUCCUUUCUGAAGAACCAUGAUGUCAUUUAUUUGGUGUCGUGGGGAAUCAGGACUGUUACUUUGAAAAAAUUAGAGUGUUUAAAGCAGGCUCACGCUUGAAUACAUUAGCAUGGAAUAAUGAAAUAGGACGUUUGAUUCUAUUUUGUUGGUUUCUAGGAUCGACGUAAUGAUUAAUAGGGAUAGUUGGGGGCAUUAGUAUUCAAUUGUCAGAGGUGAAAUUCUUGGAUUUAUUGAAGACUAACUACUGCGAAAGCAUUUGCCAAGGAUGUUUUCAUUAAUCAAGAACGAAAGUUAGGGGAUCGAAGACGAUCAGAUACCGUCGUAGUCUUAACCAUAAACUAUGCCGACUAGGGAUCGGAUGAUGUUAAUUUUUUAAUGACUCAUUCGGCGCCUUACGGGAAACCAAAGUGUUUGGGUUC